CAAAAUUUAGUUUAUAGAAAAUAUCUCAUUUACAUUGAGGGGAAUUUUGUUCAAUUAUUUAGUUUUGA
rnacentral:tRNA from 1 species